ensembl:lncRNA
GGGGGAUCGGGAAAAAAAUAGAAGACCGAAAGGUGCUGGGGCUCUUGGGCUCGCCAGGGAUGCAGCUCCAGCGCCGGCACGGCCAAGCCGCCACAGUGUGCCUGCCCUAUAAGACUGACAACAAGCGGUGAGUGAUGAUUAAAAAACCCAGAACAUCUUGCAGGGGCAGUGGAGCUGAGGAGAGGGUGACAGAAGGAGGACCCUGCAGUUUAGCUGGAGCUCUGGACGCCGGCUGCAGAGCGGUUGUAAGAACUUCAUGGAGAAGUUUCUGUGAAGAUUGUCACCUCCGGAUAGGCAGAAGGGCCCGAGAGGUGACCAGGACAUUUGUACUUCUGAGAAGAUGAGCUCAACGAGCAGAAUGGCUUCAUGUUAAAGGCAGCAGCUGAGAGGAUGGAGGAUGGCUAGGAUUAUUAUUACUAUUCAUUCAGGGCAAACCUGUUUGUUUCUCUCUGCUCUGCAAGAUUUAUGACUCUUGGCACCAGUGAGGAAGGUUACAAAAGCUAAAGUUUCCUUAGGGUGCAUGUGAGCAGGGCAGGAAAAGGCAAGGAGGUGGCCUGUGGGAGGAAGACAGAAGCCAAGAAUGUAGAUGUCUGCAGAUUUGGGUGGAGUGGGGGUGGGGAAGAACCAUUCUCGGAGGAGGAAAAAGACAAAAAAAAAAAAAAAAAAAGCGCCAGGACACUUUCCCAAGCAGGAGCCUCCGAAACACUGUCUAACUGCUGACUCGGGGCUUAGGGGACAGCACAGAAGGCUGCCCGUCACUCUUCUGGGAGAGCUGGUUCUCUUAACUUCGCCUGGACAGUCAGCCACCACCCCAUGACUUCCUGGUUAGAAUUCUUGGCUUUUGGCUUCUCCCAUCUGGAUGCACUAGGACAGGCAGGGGACUGGGGAAACAAAGGUGAGAGAUGAUUUCCAGCUAUUGUCUCGCCUUCUGCGGAGGGAGGGCGGCUCUGUCUGGCUGAGAUGAGGAGUCCUGCACCCCCCUCUUACCCCAACUCUGCUUGGGGGAUGAGCAAGAGGGUGGUCCCCGGCCUAGGGCCCCCACUUUUGCUAGCCCAGCCAAGUCAGACAAGGUGGGCUGCAGCAGCUGGGGCCCUCGGGCCUGCUUGCGGCCUCUAGCACAGGAGUGGCCUGCAGAGCCCUCUUCCUGCUGUCCUGAAUGAGGGCCCUACAGCCUGGAGAGCUGGCUAGGGGAAGGGGAGAGGUCGGGAGCGAAGGUGGGAUCCAUUUUUCUGUGUUUGUUAGCAGCAUCCAGACAAAACAUGAGGAAGUGUUGGGGCCUGAGCCAGGACCCUCCGGAGGAGGAGACCCUUUAAGGCUGGAUGAGUAUGUGGAGCAGACCCUGGCUGGAGACCUACAGGGUUAGACCCCUCUGGGCCUGGUGGGUUAGGGACUGGGCCACGGAGGUUUCCAGGGGCUCCAGGGAGCCCGUAUCUUUGGAUCUUACUCUAGCUCCCCAAAGUGCAAAAGUCAACAGUGCACUUUAGACCCUUCAUUCUUCUAACAGUCACUGGCUAGAGAAGGUCACUGUGAAGUUGGAAGAGAAGCUGGUGGCUGUCCAGACUGCAGUUUUUCCUGGAGGAAUAAGGAGAGUCCAAAAGGCACCCAGCCAGCUGCAGUCUGUGCCAGGGGGCGUGAGGCUGAGGGGAGAAGUGGCCUGGCAUGCUCCGCCUGGGAGGAAAUGUGCUACAGGGACAGCAGGGGCCCCUGCCUUCCCAUCCUCCACAAGUUCUGGUGGCCCUACCUGGCUGCACAAGGUGGUGGGGGAUUGUGGAGUGGGAGUGAAAAGGAAAGUGGGGAGCAAGAACAC